rnacentral:rRNA from 1 species
GGGGUCCUUCUGAGUCUAGAGAUAGAGGUUCCCUUCGGGGACAGAAUGACAGGUGGUGCAUGGUUGUCGUCAGCUCGUGUCGUGAGAUGUUGGGUUAAGUCCCGCAACGAGCGCAACCCUUAUUACUAGUUGCCAGCAUUAAGUUGGGCACUCUAGUGAGACUGCCGGUGACAAACCGGAGGAAGGUGGGGACGACGUCAAAUCAUCAUGCCCCUUAUGACCUGGGCUACACACGUGCUACAAUGGAUGGUACAACGAGUCGCGAAACCGCGAGGUUAAGCUAAUCUCUUAAAACCAUUCUCAGUUCGGACUGUAGGCUGCAACUCGCCUACACGAAGUCGGAAUCGCUAGUAAUCGCGGAUCAGCAUGCCGCGGUGAAUACGUUCCCGGGUCUUGUACACACCGA